UGCCAGCAGCCGCGGUAAUACGAAGGUCCCAAGCGUUGUUCGGAAUCACUGGGCGUAAAGAGUUCGUAGGUGGUUGAAAAAGUUGGUGGUGAAAUCCCAGAGCUUAACUCUGGAACUGCCAUCAAAACUUUUCAGCUAGAGUUUGAUAGAGGAAAGCAGAAUUUCUAGUGUAGAGGUGAAAUUCGUAGAUAUUAGAAAGAAUACCAAUUGCGAAGGCAGCUUUCUGGAUCAUUACUGACACUGAAGAACGAAAGCAUGGGUAGCGAAGAGGAUUAGAUA
rnacentral:rRNA from 1 species